UGGGGAAUAUUGGACAAUGGGCACAAGCCUGAUCCAGCAAUGCCGCGUGUGUGAAGAAGGCCUUCGGGUUGUAAGGCACUUUUAUCGGGAGCGAAACGCUGUCGGCUAAUACCCGGCGGAACUGACGGUACCUGAGGAAUAAGCACCGGCUAACUUCGUGCCAGCAGCCGCGGUAAUACGAAGGGUGCAAGCGUUAAUCGGAAUUACUGGGCGUAAAGCGUGCGUAGGCGGUUUCUUAAGUCUGCUGUGAAAUCCCCGGGCUCAACCUGGGAAUGGCAGUGGAUACUGGGAGGCUAGAGUGUGUCAGAGGGUGGUGGAAUUCCCGGUGUAGCGGUGAAAUGCGUAGAGAUCGGGAGGAACAUCAGUGGCGAAGGCGGCCACCUGGGACAACACUGACGCUGAGGCACGAAAGCGUGGGGAGCAAACAGGAUUAGAUACCCUGGUAGUCCACGCCCUAAACGAUGCGAACUGGAUGUUGGUCUCAACUCGGAGAUCAGUGUCGAAGCUAACGCGUUAAGUUCGCCGCCUGGGGAGUACGGUCGCAAGACUGAAACUCAAAUGAAUUGAC
rnacentral:rRNA from 1 species